GGCUUCUUGGUCUAGGGGUAUGACUCUUGCUUUGGGUGCAACAGGUCGUGGGUUCAAAUCCCAGAUGAGCCC
rnacentral:tRNA from 1 species